rnacentral:rRNA from 1 species
UACGGAGGAUGCGAGCGUUAUCCGGAUUUAUUGGGUUUAAAGGGUGCGUAGGCGGAUUUUUAAGUCAGCGGUAAAAUGUCCGGGCUCAACCCGGGCCGGCCGUUGAAACUGGAAGACUUGAGUGUGUUUGAGGUAGGCGGAAUGCGUGGUGUAGCGGUGAAAUGCAUAGAUAUCACGCAGAACUCCGAUUGCGAAGGCAGCCUGCCGCAGCGUUACUGACGCUGAAGCUCGAAAGCGCGGGUAUCGAACAGG